AAUCAAUUGUGUGGACAUUUUUGAAUCAACAUUUUGAAGCUUUCCCACACAUCAUAGAAGCUUUCUCCUUCCAUCUAUCUAAGGACAACAAUCUCUCUCCUUAAUU
rfam:Gossypium hirsutum cultivar TM-1 chromosome 24, whole genome shotgun sequence